GGGGUAAAAUUGGAAGGAAUCAAAAGAUAAUGGCAUAGUUGUAGAUACGUUGAAGUGGUAAGGGUAAAAUUGGAAAGGAAUCAAAAGUUAAUGGCAUAAUCGUAGAUAUGUUAAGUGUUAGGGGCAAAAUGAGAAUUUAAUAAUAUUAAAAAAAGGGUGAAUAGUAUCUUGAUGUGAUUUAAUUGGAGGGUUUGAGCUGGCUUUUGGAAUGAAACCGAGAGAAAGAGGGAGGGGGUUCUCAGGCGUGAAACAGAGGAAAGAAAGAAAGAAAAAGAGAAGAAGAAGAAGAAGAAAGAAGAAGAGGAAGGGGAUUCAAGGAGGAAAGGGAUCCCGGUUGCACUUACAGCUGAAGGAAAAAACGUAGAUCUCCUUCCCCUCUACGCAAGGACCUCGAUUUCCAAAAAGAAAAAGGUAAAUAUCCGUCCCUAUCUAGUCUUUUGAUGAUAUUAGGCUAUACAAAGGGUGGAUAUAGUCUAGAGGGGUCGGCUAAGGGUUGUAGAGGCGGUUAAAAGAGGAAGAAUCGGAUUUUGACAAAUUUUUCCGGCACUACGGAAAAACUGUGCCGAAGUUCCAACUUCGGUGAAUUAUUUAGGGGGCCAAACGGCCUCCGAUGAUGAUGCAUGUUAUCUCUUUGGAAUCCUCUAUGAGUGUAGAAUGUUAGGUAAAAAUUUCAUCAAAUUUGGAGUCUGAAAAGUGGAUCAAACCUGGGAUGAAGUAACCGGCUGUCGGUCCGGAUUACUGUUCAUCCGGGUGGAAAAUAGGGGAUUUCAUGCUAUAAUAAGGUAUUAAGCCUAGAUUAGGCUAAGGGAGAUCUUGUACUCAUGCAACGGAGUCCCUAAU
rnacentral:lncRNA from 1 species